AGCUACUCUGGAUGUGAAGGGCUUGCCAUUCUGCCAAGGAGCAGCAAGCCUGCCAGAGCAUCAGUACAACAAAUAGAGGAUCAAGAUACAUCAACAUUUUUGAAAAGAUAACCCACAGAAAAAAACAAAACAAAAUAGGUUUCUUACAGCUAUGAUCUCACUGGAGGAGUCUAGAGAGCUCCCCUUGGCAGAUCCUUCCUUGUAAGCACUGCUUCAGUAAAAUCAAGAUUUUGAUAGAAGAUAUGUUAAAAAAAUCACUCCCAGAGGAUUCUAAAGGAAUUCCCAAGUGAAAGAAUCGAGGUGUGCAUUUUCUCACAUAAAAAUUAUUUGGUGGAGAAGACUGGCAGUAAGUUAACACGGCGCAAAUAUUCCAGGAGAGUCUUGUAGGUAGCAUAAAGAUGAAUACUGAACAAUUGCUGGUACUCUGUCUCAAGAAAAAAAACACGGGAACAUGAAAUUACACUAUCAAGCUAGAGACAAGAGAUACUUAUGCACAACGCAUGGAUGACACAUAGACCUUUCCAAAGGUUGCCAGAAUUGAUAAAAUUUUGUAAUGAUUAAACAUUUUAAAACAUAAUGGGAGAAAAUCCUAUAGUGAAUUAAGUGCAAAUAUGUCAUCACUGGUUUAGAAAACAUAAAUCACAGGAUUAUGAGGAAAUACUUACGAAAGACCAACUAUCUUUAUUCCAUUCUUAUGCUCUUCCAUAUGUAUUUGCUGUUUGCCAUGGUCCAACACAAGAUGUCAGAAUGGCUUGGAAGUACUUGUGGUGUUAGGUUUUAUGUUCCAGCAGUUUCCAUAAGCAAAUGUAUCUUUAUUGCUUCAUCUGCAAGUAUUUAAUACUAAGAAGACAAAGAAGGCAACACUCCUUCUCCAGAAUCCUCCUUGAUAUCCUGCAGCAGUGCAGGAUCUGGGGAGGUGAGAGGCAAAUGUAUGAGGGUUGGUUCUUCUCAGUGAUGCGUAGCAAUAUGACAAGGAGAAAUGGCCUAAAACUUGAACAUAGGAAAUUCCAUACAAACACGUGGAAGAACUUCCUUACGGUAAGGGUGACAUGAGUAAUACCAAAGAACCAAUUGCUUCCAUAUUGGUAUGGGAACUUGGGCUACUUCUUCACAGACCUUAACACUGCGCAGAAGUUUAAGCUGGUAUACCUAAUACAGAAAUGUAGGGUAUGGAGUGUUUUAGAAAACUAGGUGUACACAGGGAAAGGGUUAUUUACUUCUUUGAAUCCUCCUAAGCAAAUAUGAAUAAGGUGCUAUCCCUAUACAAAAACACUGUAUGUCAGGGCCUUCUUAAGGUAUGUAAUAAGAUGUUAUAUAAUGGUUAUUUUUUAAUCUUCAUUGUGACAGUAUGGCUGGCUUUGAUAGAAUUUUUUCUAAAGACUAUCCAGAUCUCUCCCGCAGGUUUGUUUGUUGUUGUCUUUUUUGAAUUAAGAACAACCUAGCAGAGCUUACUUUAAAUAAUACUGAAUGACUAAAAGGAAACUUUUAAUAAGAAAGAGUCCUGUAAGUCCCAC
ensembl:lncRNA